rnacentral:lncRNA from 1 species
AGCCACGCAAAAAUAAAAGAAAUCAUCUUGUUUAAUUUUGGCAUCCAAAAGGAAUCCUUCUGGAGCACUCCUCUUAAAAUUCCUACCAUUUAUUCCACAUGCCUUUAGAUGGCUCAUGGGAUUUUGUGGAUGUAGAAGAGGAGGAAUCCUUCUUUAUGAAGGAUCUUACACACAAAAUUAAGUGGGAUGCCCACCUUGUUUGUGCGAU